UUAUGGCUCAGGAUGAACGCUAGCUACAGGCUAACACAUGCAAGUCGAGGGGCAGCGAGAAGAAAGCUUGCUUCUUGUCGGCGACCGGCGCACGGGUGAGUAACGCGUAUCCAACUUCCCCUUAGUAGGGCAUAGCCCGUAGAAAUGCGGAUUAAUACCCUAUGUUGUUCGAUGCGGACAUCUAAGUUGAACCAAAGGUUUACCGCUAAGGGAUGGGGAUGCGUCUGAUUAGGCAGCAGGCGGGGUAACGGCCCACCUGGCCGACGAUCAGUAGGGGUUCUGAGAGGAAGGUCCCCCACAUUGGAACUGAGACACGGUCCAAACUCCUACGGGAGGCAGCAGUGAGGAAUAUUGGUCAAUGGGCGCGAGCCUGAACCAGCCAAGUAGCGUGCAGGAUGACGGCCCUAUGGGUUGUAAACUGCUUUUAUGCGGGGAUAAAGUGCGGCACGUGUGCCGUUUUGUAGGUACCGCAUGAAUAAGGACCGGCUAAUUCCGUGCCAGCCGCCGC
rnacentral:rRNA from 1 species